CCAGACUCCUACGGGAGGCAGCAGUGGGGGAUAUUGCACAAUGGGGGGAACCCUGAUGCAGCGACGCCGCGUGGGUGAAGGAGCGUUUCGGCGCGUAAAGCCCUAUCGGCAGGGAAGAAGAUGACGGUACCUGACCAAGAAGCCCCGGCUAACUACGUGCCAGCAGCCGCGGUAAUACGUAGGGGGCAAGCGUUAUCCGGAUUUACUGGGUGUAAAGGGGGCGCAGACGGCGAUGCAAGCCAGGAGUGAAAGCCCGGGGCUCAACCCCGGGACUGCAUUUGAAACUGUCAGGCUGGAGUGCAGGAGAGGUAAGUGGAAUUCCUAGUGUAGCGGUGAAAUGCGUAGAUAUAAGGAAGAACACCAGUGGCGAAGGCGGAUUACUGGACGAUAACUGACGGUGAGGCGCGAAAGCGUGGGGAGCAAACAGGAUUAGAUACCCUGGUA
rnacentral:rRNA from 1 species